rnacentral:rRNA from 1 species
UAUGAUGGCGACCGGCGCACGGGUGAGUAACACGUAUCCAACCUGCCGACAACACUGGGAUAGCCUUUCGAAAGAAAGAUUAAUACCGGAUGGCAUAGUUUUCCCGCAUGGGAUAAUUAUUAAAGAAUUCGGUUGUCGAUGGGGAUGCUUCCAUUAGGCAGUUGGCGGGGUAACGGCCCACCAAACCAACGAUGGAUAGGGGUUCUGAGAGGAAGGUCCCCCACAUUGGAACUGAGACACGGUCCAA